rnacentral:rRNA from 1 species
AUACGGAGGUGGCUAGCGUUGUUCGGAAUUACUGGGCGUAAAGGGCGCGUAGGCGGCAUGGCAAGUCAGAUGUGAAAGCCCCGGGCUUAACUUGGGAAUUGCAUCUGAAACUGUUUUGCUUGAGUCCUGGAGGGGGUAGUGGAAUUCCCAGUGUAGCGGUGAAAUGCGUAGAUAUUGGGAGGAACACCGGUGGCGAAGGCGGCUACCUGGACAGUGACUGACGCUGAGGCGCGAAAGCUAGGGGAGCGAACGG